rnacentral:rRNA from 1 species
GACAGAGGAUGCAAGCGUUAUCCGGAAUGAUUGGGCGUAAAGCGUCUGUAGGUGGCUUUUCAAGUCCGCCGUCAAAUCCCAGGGCUCAACCCUGGACAGGCGGUGGAAACUACCAAGCUGGAGUACGGUAGGGGCAGAGGGAAUUUCCGGUGGAGCGGUGAAAUGCGCAGAUAUCAGGAGGAACACCAAUUGCGAAGGCAGCUCGCUGGAACGUAACUGACGCUGAGACGCGAAAGCGUGGGGAGCAAACAGG